rnacentral:rRNA from 1 species
CCUACGGGAGGCAGCAGUGAGGAAUAUUGGUCAAUGGGCGUAAGCCUGAACCAGCCAAGUCGCGUGAGGGAUGAAGGUUCUAUGGAUCGUAAACCUCUUUUAUAAGGGAAUAAAGUGUGGGACGUGUCCUGUUUUGUAUGUACCUUAUGAAUAAGGAUCGGCUAACUCUGUGCCAGCAGCCGCGGUAAUACGGAGGAUCCGAGCGUUAUCCGGAUUUAGUGGGUUUAAAGGGUGCGUAGGCGGCCUUGUAAGUCAGCUGUGCAAGUCUGUGGCUCAACCAUAGAAUUGCUGUUGAAACUGGGAGGUUUGAGGAUGUUUGAGGCAGGCGGAAUGCGUGGUGUAGCGGUGAAAUGCUUAGAUAUCAGGCGGAACCCCGAUGGCGAAGGCAGCCUGCCAAGCCAUGACUGACGCUGAUGCACGAAAGCGUGGGGAUCAAACAGGAUUAGAUACCCUGGUAGUC